rnacentral:rRNA from 1 species
UACGUAGGGGGCAAGCGUUGUCCGGAAUUAUUGGGCGUAAAGAGCGCGUAGGCGGUCCGAUAAGUCGGCUGUGAAAGUCAUGGGCUCAACCCAUGAAAGCCGGCCGAUACUGUCGGACUAGAGUCCGGAAGAGGCAAGUGGAAUUCCCGGUGUAGCGGUGAAAUGCGCAGAUAUCGGGAGGAACACCGGUGGCGAAGGCGGUUCUCUGGGCCUGUACUGACGCUGAGGUGCGAAAGCGUGGGGAGCAAACAGG